AGAAAAUCCAUAUUUCCACCUCAAUAUCAGUACUUGAAUAUAAACAUAUAUCUGAUUUAACCCUAAGGCGUUCUGCUCUGUUACCAAUUUGCUCAAGGCUCUCUUCAGCAGACACA